CAGUUCAAAGACUUUUCUGCUUCGGUUGUAAAUGCAUUGAGUCAUCUCAGCACAUUGAUUUUAGUUGUAACUGGAGGUGAGACUCUUGAAUCCAGAGGAAAUAUAUUUUAAGAUUUGUAAUAAUUAGAAUUUAUCUUUCUAUUAUGAUUGUUGCAUUUACAAAAUUUAUACUUAUUAUAAACAAGUAUGUGAGAUCCCAUGGAUCAGGGAAAGCUUCUGGAAGAAGCAGCUGGUGAGCUGCCAUCUCAAGGGUCUGCAGGGUUAGCCAGGUAAUUGCAUGAUGGCCAGUGGUGGACAUGUUGUGUGGAGAUCGUGUAGGGUAGCAGGCAGAUAAAGGGUUUGGAGAGGAACAAGUGUUUUGAGAUGUGGCUCUGGGUAAAGUCAUGCAUAUGGAAGUUGUAAUCUCAGAGAUGACAUUUGGAACCAUUUGGGAGGUCGAGACUCUAUGUGCAGAGAGGAUAAGUGUGAUGCCUAGUGUGGAAUUUUGAGGAAAACCAAAGGUCCCUAAGAUGAGAGGGAGGAAUCAGCAAAAGAAGGAGAAGAGGAGGAGCAGAAAAGCAGAGGAUGGUGGUGACAUGGAAACCAGCUGAAGGUCCAACUUUAAAAUGGUCAAUGUGGGAACAAGUGUUUGAUGCUUCUGAAAUGUCAGCUGGGGCUGCCUGACGGAGAACUGUGGCCUCAUUAAGAUGUAGUUUGUUACACACCUAGGCUGAGCAGAGUGAUGGGCACCAGAUUACAGCAAUUUGAGAAAUGGGCUGCAUGUGAAGAGAUAUGGUCUCAUAUUGCAGAGAAGUUCUAGACGUUUGGGUAUGACCAGAAUAAGAUCAUACCUACAGGUGGUUGUAACGCUAAGGAAUGGUCAUAUUCCUGAUGUCGAAGAUGAAAAUUAAGCACUUUUAAUGUUGAUCAAAACCCAGCCUGUCCAAAGGAAGAUGCGGAUACAGCAGAGAGAGGAGCUCACUGAUAAAGCAUAAGCAUCUCGCUAAAGCCUUUUCCACUUUGCAGCAAGGGAAUCUCUCCCCAAAGCUGUAUCUUCUGAAACUGACCCUCCAUGAGGAAUUGGACCCUGGAACAGCCAUGCAUGCAGAAUUUCCCAUCCCAGGAUCAAACCAACACCACAGCAGUGACAACACCAGAUCCUAAAUCCACUGAGACCAUCAGGGAACUCCCAAUAGUGGAGUUCUUUAAAUAAGUAAGAAAGUGACAAUGCAAAGCUGUAGCAGCAUUUGUUGUGGAAAGGAAAUUCAGAGAAGAAACUUGAAUUUCCAGUGGAUGUGAUGGGAAAGGCUGUCUCCUGUCCUCAUGUGCUGGUCUUGAAGCUGAAGUGUCAGCUUCACAUCUGAUCUCAGCUCUGCUCUGUGAUGCUGGGGCUCCACUGCCAUCCACCACAUUUCUCCUCUGCCAGUAGGUUUAUUUCCUUUUAAAGUGCUUCCAUACAAGUCCCAAGAGAUGGGCUAGAAGGCUUGAGGAAAUUUUCUGUUUUCCUGACUGGGCUGUGACUGAAAACAGUGACCAUCAAUGGAAAAGGACAACUAGUGGAUCUUCUAGAUGCUAUUUGUCACCUAUCAGGUUGGCAGAAACUAAAAAGGAAUGAUGAGAUCCUGUUUUGGUCAAUGCCUAGAAACAUAUAUAAACGUAUACACUCUCAAAUAUGAUUAAUAUAGUCAUUGUCAUCGUGGACAGUUGGCAGUAUAUGUUUGCAAUAUGUGUGUAUUUUGACCAAGAAAUUUUGCUUCAUGACACCUUCUUCAGAGAAAGACUCUCCCUUGGAUAUAAGACACCUGCAUGAUAACUGUAGCAACUUAUUUUUUAAACUUAAAAACAACUAAGAAAAUGUCAACUAGACAAUGUGGGCAAAUGAAAGAGAAAGGAAAACAGAGCAAGAAGCAGACCAGUGAAAGAGUUUCUUGUUGCACCCAUCUCAUGUGGAGCAGAUCUUGGCCCCUGUGUGUGUGUCUCUGGAGGAAAGAUCAGAUCUGGAAACCAGAUGUGACUUGUUAUGUGACCCAAGUCAGGACAUUCUUCUCUUCUCAGCCACCAGCUCCCUUUGGGUGAGCGUCGUUGGCCACAGGAGCGUAAGGACGGUCCCUGUCCUGAAGGUCACCUCCUCUGGGUUCUCUAGUCCUGGAUUUGCAUCUAUUUGGUUACUCAUCUUCUCUUAACUUCACGGUGAGAAUCUCGAAUGAAAAGAUGACUGUACAUCUUAUGUAUUAAUUUUGCAAUGAAAAGCAACCAGGUCCCCCAUCACACCACAUGUCACCAGCUUCCCAGGACGAGGUAGAGAUGGAUUCCCUGGAAGUACUUCUUCAUGGCCAUUCCCAAGGAGGAUGGCUGCUCUCCCAUCUCCUGCACCAAGCAGAGGUCCAGGUCUUCCAGCUGCUGAUAGAGUCCAGAGAAGAGCUUGUCCAGGAGGGUGGAGUCCCGGGCAACAGAGGAGCGCUCUGUUUGGAGGAGGAGGAAGGUCUGUUGGAGCGUCUCAUGGAGGACAGAGAUGGCCUGGGCCUUCUGCAGGUGGCUGCCAUCCACCAUCUCCUGGGGGAACCUGAAGUCUUUUCUGUCCUUCAGACAGAAAGAAGGAGAAAUUCUCCUCAUCUGACGCAGAAGCACCAGGUUCUUCCUGCUGACGUGCACAUGGUUCUGAGACAGGUCACAGCCCAGAGAUCCCCCAGGGCCGUAGUUGAACACCACCAGGGCCGUCAGUAGAGAGAACACAAAGGCCAUGGGGAAAUGAGGGCGCUGCUGGCCUGGCUGAGAUGGGUGUCUGGGGGAACCUUGGGGGUAGGUUCUCUGAUGCCAUUCUCUCUAAGCAUGGCCAUUAAAUAGGAAACACAGUAAUUUUCAUUUUCUAAACAUUUCUCUACACUUUCACUUCUUUUUUGGUUUUCAUUUAUGUAUUCUUGAUAUGGUUGGUCUAAGACACUGUCAUCACUGUAAACCAUUAGUUUUGUCAUAGAAGUAUAAUUUCCCCAGUGAAUUUAGAUAUAUCCAUGCAAAUGGAUAUUUAUCAAUCUAAUUAGAAACAUUCUGUCUCAGAGUCAGAAGUGAUGUAGGUGUAUAAACACAUCCUCUUUGUGUGUGUGAAUCCCUUUCCUUCAUAAAUACUGCUCUUCUCCAUUGUAGGAGCAAAUUUCUACCUCGGAUCUUUGGCUCCAUUUGUCCGGCCUUCUUUACUUAGGAGACCAACUCUCUCAGCUCUAUGGUGUCUGUCUGUAUUCACUUAGGAAUUUACGAGACCACCUCUGGAAAUUAAGGUCUUUGAAAUAGAAGAAGGGUUUUAUUUAGGUGUUUGAUUUCAGAAGACACCAAUGACCUUGAGUGAAUGAUAUUCUUUUAUGUUUCUCUUGCUUCUAGAACAGAUCCAUGCAGAUCCAUGUGGUUCUGCUUCAGGGGACCAGGAGGUCAGGACAAUUACAGACAUUGUCCUUUCUUUCCACCACGUUCUUCCUGAGGACCUAUAGUCCUCCAAUGCCUGGGCCAAUACUCCCAACAGAAAUCCUAGUUCUUUCAAGAGAAUAUGGGUGUGGAGAUUCUAAUUCCAAGAUGAUUGUGUUUUCCUGGCAGCAUCUCCCUCACAAGGGGGGUGUCACAUCUAGUAACACCCUGUCCUCUAGAGGAACAGAGUCCCCAUCCUAACCUCCUGCACCCACUCCCUGAAGCAGACUCACCACAUCCUGAGAACUUUAAAACCUCCUCACUGUGGAGGGCCCUAUUUAUUUGUUGGGAAGAUAAUUCUUCUCCCAGGAUCUCUGCCUUUGCCCCCAGAGUGUUUGCUUGAAGGACCCUAGUCCUCAGUGGUGACCUCUUCCUCUCCUGACAUGUGUCCUCAGGUAUCAAAGGUGCCAGCAGCCCUCAGAUGCUGAGAGCAAAGGUGUGUCCUGUCUUAGGAUGUGGAGGAGUUAUCCGGUUGAAAUCAUUUCAGUUUGACCUGACAGAUAAUUUGCGUUUUGUCAAUACAAAUUUGUUAGUCAACUCUUGUCCUUAAACAAAUGAAUGCUUGUUAUGCUCAAAGUUUCUCAGCUGGAGACAGGUGAUUUAGUGACAAAGUUGUCUCUCAUGAGAAGCUUAUGUCACAGAAACUAAUGAUCUUCAGUUGGUCAUUCAUUCAGUGGAUCCCUCUGGGUUUCUCUCUUCCUCUGUCUCGGGGAUGCAGGGCAGUGAGGCCUAGGCUAUUCUCAGGGGAGAAAUUGCCUUCUUUUCUUUACUUGUAUGUGAUUCUUCACUUAAGGUUUUUAGAAAUUGCAUUCACUAAUGUUAGGGGUUUAUAGGGCAAGUUUGAAUUCCUGAUGAGGUGAGAAAAAUAAAGGAAGUAAAGGAAGGCAAAUGGGCUGCAAUUGCGAUCAUUUUCAAGACUUUAGAUAUUUUGUUCCUCAUUGCAACUUUCCUGAAAGUAAAAUUUGACAGUUGCUUUGUGGAAAAGAAAAGCAAUGUAGGUCUGAAUGUCUUGAAUGUGAAAUAUGGAAGUGGUUUUCCACUGAUACAAUGACAUAUUCUAAGUUAGCAAACUUCAGUGUAGCACAGAUGGGGACAAGGCAAUGCAGAGGGGAAGGGUGAGGCCAGUAUGAACAACAGGAAGGGACGAACAUGGCUGCUUCAUGGAUGAUCUUGAGGUACUGAUGAAAUAAUUAGAGGGAGGGGAGUAAGAUGACAAAAGAUGCUUAAUUCCACUUCCGAUGCCAAAGUGUUACUGUCUGCUGUUUUAUAGGGCACCACAGGGUAUGGUCUGAGCCAACUAAAGUGACUUUAAGUUCUAAUGAAAAAUUAACAAAAUCCCUAUUAAGUGGUUAGAAGACAGUAGAUGUUUCUGCCAAUUCAGAAAAAAAAAAGAUCUCUAAGAUUUUUAUGAGUAAUUUCUUCAGUCAAAUAUAGUAAAGUAACUUUAUUAACCCCACAACAGCAGACACCUGCAAUAUAUUUGUCUUGAUUUUUCUUGUGAUUUUAAGAACAACAACAAAGCACCUAACAGUUUCUGUCCGUAUGAGCUCUGACAUUUCUCCUUCAGGAUGACAACUAAGGUGUCACUCUCCACCUGGUUCCACAGGAAUGAAGUCACUGAACUUUCCUACACCCUGAAAGGAGGUCAGGGUGGGGAUCAGGAAGGCGGCACUCUGUGCUCUGGGAAAACUGACAGUGCAGGCCUUCAGAUAGUAGAUCAUUUCAGGAGAAAAUUUUAUGAAAGCAAUUUUUUGCCUCUUCUUACACCUAGAAAAGUAGUAAAAUAAUUACAAACUUCUACCGAGAUGUGUCUUUGAUGGCAGAUACCCCAUUUGCCAAAAUCAUAUAUGUGUAUUGAUCUCUCCCCCAACCACCUGGAGCAGAUCCUUAGAGCUGUCGGAGCAGCUCUCCUCCAGGCUAUAGUCCUCAGGAAAUCCCCCAAGAACUGACUCCCAGCUCUCAUGUUGUCCAUUGUUUGUUCAGUGGACAAGGACCUCGCUGAUGUCCCAGGAGUCCUCUUCAGGUCAGCCUGAUGUUCUCAUUCCCAAAGACAAGUGUGCCUCUCUCCUCCAGCCCAAACUGGACCUUCUGUUGUCUCCAGAGAGCCCAGUGAAGAGUCUUUUCUCUUUAUUGUUCUAGCUAAUGGUUAAGAUGUGGUUUCUGAUGAGGCUUUGGACUGACCAAGGGGGAAAAGCGUAUGUGCUUCCUAGACAGAAGCAGUGAAGGUUUUUAAAGGGCUGCUUAUCAGGGAGAGCCUGGUUUGAACUCAAUAGUCAGCCACACUGCCUAGAGUAGUUGUCUUGAUUUAUGUCUUUAGUCACAACCUAGAAAGCAGCAUAAAACAAUACCAUUAUUUAAAACAAUAUUUAUUAAUAAGAUGGCAUUUUUAGAAGUAAUAUAGGACUGUUUUUUGCCUAUUGUUUGGAUCCUAAUCCUCAGGAAGGUUUCCAGACAUCUAAAUGUACUUGAAAGGCCCCUCUGACUUAAAUGUCCCUACUUAGUGCAGAAUGUACCAGCUGCAAAGAGAAGAAAGAUGAUUGAUCCAUCAAUGUUCUCUUUCCAAAUUGCCUAAAUUAAAUAAAUGGAUUUCCACAAAGGUCUUUGAUGCUUUGAGCAGUUCUCAUCUUCUAGGGUGCGCAGUGCUGAUACAUGUCCUGCUGGGAAGGCUCUACCCCACUGGUUCCUAAAUGGAUCAUAAUCCCUGCCCAUGUCCCUUCUGUUCAGCCUUGUUUUAUUAUGUUCGUCUUUCAAAGAGGCUCCAUCAAGAUGGAAUGUAAGAAAUUCCUUGGGUUUCAUUGUCCCGGGAGUAUCCUUCCCUGCUCUGUGGUAGCUUGCUGGGUUCUAAGGAGGAAACAGGUUUGCAGCUGGCACUGGACCCUCAUCCCUUCUGAUGCUCUGCAGGCUGCUGUGGUAUCCGUGUCACCCAUGCUGGGAACACUGUUAGUGUCCAUAUAUUUGUGUGAUAAUUCUAUGCUGUCAGUAUGCACUACUAUCAUAUGUAGUAUAUUUUGUAGUAUAUAUUUAUAUACAUGUGUACCAAAUGUGCACAUGUAUUAUAUAAAUACAUAUAACUGAGAAGACACAGUUUCCCAAUUCUGCUUUGCAGUGUUUUACUGUCAGUUACGGAGGAGGGUAGGAGAAUUCAUUAUGUAUGUUUAUAUUUGCAUGCAAACAAGAAAAUAGCCACUACCUGUGUAGACAUCACUCAAUGGAUGAUACUCUGCUAAGAGUUCUUAAAUGUUCUGCACUGUCUACUACCUACCACUCUAGGAAUAGUUUCACUUACUUUUUGUAUGAGGAAACUGAGGCUCAGAGAAGUUAGGUGAUUCCCAAGAUCACCCAUGUUCCUGGAAGAAUCUUGAUUCAGUGCAGAAUCCUAUAUCACUUAAAAAUAAUUGUUGAAGUUUCUUCUCAUGCAAUUCUCCAUCCCUUUGUUUUUUUCUUUUUCUUUUCCUGUUUGGCCUCACCUAUGGCAUGUGGACAUUCCCAGAUGAGGGGUCAAAUUGGAUCUGCAGCUGCUGCCCAUGCCACAGCCACAACACCAGAUCCAAUCUGCUCCUGUGACAUAUGCCGCAGCUUGUGACGAUGCUGGAUCUUAACCCAGUUGGCGAAGCCAGGGAUCAAACCCGGAUCCACACAGAAACCAACAUCAGGUCCUUCACCUGCUGAACCACAACAGGAAGUCCCAUUCCUUUGUUUUUAGUUCUUUCUGAAAGUUGUUCUUCCCUGGUUAACUCCUAACUGCACUGACUACUCCAUCUCUGUGCCCUUUUCAGGCUCUUCUUCUCUGUCUCAGGCUUAAAAGGUCAAGGUCCUCAUAAGCUUCAAGUCAUCUUCUCAUUCUACACUGUACUCAUAAGGAAGAACAUUCCUUACCAUGUCCUGAUUUCCAUAUAUUCAACUAUUGCAAAUUAAUAUCUCCAGGAUGUAUAUUGUGGCAGAUUCUAGAUCCACACAUGCAUCUACUGAUGGGAAGUCUGUCUUUAGAUGUUGCUUGAGCACUUUCUAGAUCACAUCUGCUUUCUUCCUGUCUUGAUAUCCCUCCAUUGAGAUUCUGGCGAGAGAAUCCCUGUGCCUCUCUCUCUUAUUGUAACAAGAAACCUAACUGAAAUAAUAUAGCAUCAUUAUUGCUUUUAUAUCUCUUUAUCUUUCCAACUGAAAGCUCCAAAGAAGAGGUUUGGCAUUUUUUUUAUUCACGUCCGUGUUCUCAGAACUAUCACAUAUCUGAUGUAGGAAAAUGAAGUUUUGAGAUAUAACCAACAGAAAGAAAUGAAUGAUGAGUACAAAUCAUCAUCCAGUUUUUAGUAUGGGUUGCUACUUUUAGCUAUUUCUUUUGUUUAAGAGAAAACUCAAGAUAUCCUCUGGGGAAGAAUUUCAUAAAUUAAAUGGAAAAUAAUUUGAUAAAAGAUAAAGGUAAGCAUAUUUUGUUAGAUUUCAGCUAAUUAUAAAUAUGAACAUGAUGUUGUAUGAACAAAAAAAAAUUUAAAUACCAUAUGUAGUAUGGCUGAGAUGAGUAAAUAGAUGGGUACUUUAGAGGCCUUUGCACAAUAAUCACUGUUAUUUGAAACUCCUGCUCUAAUAAUUCCUAACGCUCUACUUUGUCUGAGUCUAGUUCUGAUCCUUGCUCUGUCUCUUCAAACAGUUUUUUUCCUCUUAGUAUGGUAAGUUUCUAUUGAGAGUUGAACAUGGUGUAUCGGGUAAAAGGAACCGAGGUAAAUUGUCCUUUAGGGUAAGGAUUUCCAUUUAUCUUGUUAGGAAUUUGACUGUGUUUACCUCUGGUCCAGGGCUCUGUUUCUGCCCUCUUUAUUCUGCAUGUCAGCCAAGCUGCCUCAUCCUUCUGGAUUGGUCUUCUUCAAAAAUGACUUUAUUAGACCUAUUUGGCAAGUAACCACCAAAGGAGAAAGGUCUGUAUCUUGUACACCAUUGUAUUAUGAGCACAGGGUUCAUUAUCAUUACUCAAAAUAAUGAAUAACAAAGAGUAUUCUUAGAUUUUCCAUCACACGUUAUACCGCAAGCUUCUAUUAACCUGCCAUCAGAACCUUAUAUUGAGGAGGUCCCAUUGUGGCUCAGCAGUAAUAAACCCACCUAUUAGCAAUGAGGAUGUAGGUUUGAUCCCUGGCCUUGCUCAGUGGGCUGAGGAUCCAGCAUUACUGUGAGCUGCAGGGUAACUCGCAAAUGUGGCUCAGACCUGGCCUUGCUGUGGCUGUGGAGUAGGCCAGCAGCUCUAGCUCCUAUUGGACCUGGAAACAUACAUAUGCCCUGGGUGCGGCCCUCAAAAAAAAAAAAAAA
rnacentral:lncRNA from 1 species